CGCCACUGGGCAUCUCUAUUUGUAAAUGAAUGGACCAAUACUUCCAAGCGAAGCUAUCCACUGCUUCCUUGAAGCUUACAUUGCUUUAAAGCUUAGAUCAGGAAUGUUUAAUUGUAAUUAUUUUUUCAUCUUUAAAAAGGGUAUUGGAAUCCCAGUCCUCAGUGGGAAGUUCCCAGUUAUCUUCCGCUAGCGAGGAUCCAUUGGCAAAUCCAGACAUGCAUUGGAAGGAUGCUAAUGUAGAGGACACAGGGGCACCGGAUCCAAGAACUGUGGCUUUUCACCCGGAACGACAACCUGGCAUUCAGAUGGGAUGACUCUUGAGGUUGUGUAUAAGCUGAGAAGUGAACACGCAUACAGUCAUUGGUUGAUCAUGUUUGUGAGAAAUCAAAGGAAUUAUACCAGCCUUACAGGGAAAUAGCGGUAGAUGAGAGAAUGGUCGCCUCUAAGCAUAAGUUCUCGGGCAUUCGUCAGUUCAUUAAAGACAAACCUGUUCGCUUUGGAAUAAAGCUUUGGGUUGUAGCAUGUAAUAUGUCUGGCUAUACAUACAACUUUUUUGUCUAUCUUGGUAAAAAUAAUACUAUUUUUACAGAUAAAACAAAGGAUAUUGGAUUUAAUGUCACUAUUACAUUGUGUAAACCUCUUUUUGAUUAAGGAUAUAGGUUGUUUACUGAUUGUUUUUAUACAUCUAUAGCUCUUGUCAAAGAAUUACUUGCUAGGAAAAUUUACCUUAUUGGUGUACUGAAAUCUAAUAGCUUGUCUAUACCUGAUGAACUUAGAAAUGUGAAAAUGUGGGAAAGAGUAGCCACUAGAGGUGAUUUUAGAUGGCACAGAGUUGAUGAAUUUGUAUUUGUGCAAUGGAAAGAUUGUAAGGUAGUUACUUUUAUGUCGCCAUUACACUAUGGCUCAGCUACAACUGUUUGUGAACGCACUAUGAAAUCUAGAUUAACUUGGAACAAAAAAGGACUUGUACAACCUGUAGUUGCUAAUGAUUACAAUAAAUGUAUGGGAGCUGUAGAUCUUUCAAACCACUUUACAAGUAAAUAUCCGUCUUAUAUUAGAACACAGUAUCAUUGGUGGAAAGUUCUGUUUUUUUCAUUUGCUUGAUAUCAUGGUUGUUAAUUCAUAUAUUAUUUUUGAAGAAUUUAGAAAAUUACAUGCCAAUCAGUUUACAAAUUGUUCUUCUGUAUAUGGACAACUUGAAUUCCGCGAAUCACUUGCCGUGUCACUGAUGGGUUUAAAUGAAAAGUGUGUAUCAAAAGAAAGUCCUAUUGCAUGUAUACCUGAAUUUUUAGAUAAAAGGAAAGACUGUACAUUUUGUAAUGCUGAGGCAAUUUUUAUGAAUGAGAAGGUUCCAAGUUAUAAGACAUCUGUAUUUUGUGUAUCAUGUCAAGUUCCUCUUUGUUUAUCAAAUGACAGAAAUUUAAAAAAUGGCACAGUAAAGAAGGGGAAGAUGUUAGAAAUUGUGCAAAUUUGUCAUGUAAAAAGAGAAAAUUAUGAAUAUACUGUGUUCUCAAUGCAUAUUCUUUUCUGAUGUCAGAGGUAUCACAAGUGAAUGUAAUGCAAUACACAUAAAAUGUGUGUAGUUCUUAAAAUCUGGAAUAUUUUACUGCAUGUACAUUUUUGUUUCAAUAUGUUAAAUGGCUUGUGUAAUUAACCACCAGAGGUUUUAAAAGGUUGCAUAUAAUAAGCACAUUCUUGUUAAACAUGAUGCAAGUGCAGUUAGAUAUAGUGAUUCAAAGCAAGUACAUGUACUUGAACAUUCCUACGUGGAGAGGAAAAACGGGUAGUACUUUAUGAUAACAUUUGUUAUGGUGUUGUUGCUUAGCAACCAAAUAUAUUUGAUUUAAAAAAAAAAUCAAAUUAUUUUUUUGAAUGAACUGUUAAAGAUCUUUAUUUUUGAUGUUGCAGUAUUCUAUCUAGUGGAAGAUAUUCACAGAACAUCAUAUUGUUAAAAAACGAUGUCAAUGUACAUUACGUACAACUUUUGAAUUUAUGACCUUAGACCUUAAUUAUCUCCCAUGUGUUCAUAAUGUUUGUUAAAAAAAAUUUAAAAUCAUUAAGAUCUGCCUACAUAUUAUAUUUUCAAAAUAAUGUGGCAUUUACUAAUAACCAUGAUAUGCAAUUAUGUUUAAAUUGUAUCAAAUGGCUGCAGAAAGGCAAAUUUUGGUCAAAAUUGCACUGCGAGUGUUGUUACUUAGCAACCAAAAAUAUUUUUAUGUCAAUAAAAUUAAUUAAU